AACGAACGCUGGCGGCAUGCCUAACACAUGCAAGUCGAACGAGACCUUCGGGUCUAGUGGCGCACGGGUGCGUAACGCGUGGGAACCUGCCCUUAGGUUCGGAAUAACUCCCCGAAAGGGGUGCUAAUACCGGUUAAUGUCUUCGGACCAAAGAUUUAUCGCCUUUGGAUGGGCCCGCGUUGGAUUAGCUAGUUGGUAGGGUAAAAGCCUACCAAGGCGACGAUCCAUAGCUGGUCUGAGAGGAUGAUCAGCCACACUGGGACUGAGACACGGCCCAGACUCCUACGGGAGGCAGCAGUGGGGAAUAUUGGACAAUGGGCGAAAGCCUGAUCCAGCAAUGCCGCGUGAGUGAUGAAGGCCGUAGGGUUGUAAAGCUCUUUUACCCGGGAUGAUAAUGACAGUACCGGGAGAAUAAGCUCCGGCUAACUCCGUG
rnacentral:rRNA from 1 species